AGAUGGGGCAGAUCUCGCAGCUGUCCCCCAGACAGAGUAUCGCCUUUGAUAACAAGGAAUACGGUACCCUUAUUGCCAUUACCGGGUCCCCGUCCCCCGGCGGCCCCUUUUCCAAGCACAGCGUCAAUCGGUUUGUGUUUCCGCCGCCGGAUGCAAGCCUGAUCAAGAGGGAACUCGUCUACCCCAGCGCUGAGCAUCCGGUUGAAGUAAGUUCUGGCCGCUCAAGGAAUCUGCUGUCACCACCGCCCGUGGGCAGCUUUAAGUCGCGGGAGCGGAAAUCAAGCACUUGAAAGCGGGAGCGCAACACGAGCGGCAGUGGAGCCGGA